rnacentral:rRNA from 1 species
GAUGAACGCUAGCGGCAGGCUUAACACAUGCAAGUCGAGGGGUAUCUAUCUUCGGAUAGAGAGACCGGCGCACGGGUGCGUAACGCGUAUGCAAUCUACCUUUUGCAGAGGGAUAGCCCAGAGAAAUUUGGAUUAAUACCUCAUAGUAUAGUGAUACCGCAUGGUACUGCUAUUAAAGUCACAACGGCAAAAGAUGAGCAUGCGUCCCAUUAGCUAGUUGGUAAGGUAACGGCUUACCAAGGCUACGAUGGGUAGGGGUCCUGAGAGGGAGAUCCCCCACACUGGUACUGAGACACGGACCAGACUCCUACGGGAGGCAGCAGUGAGGAAUAUUGGACAAUGGGCGCAAGCCUGAUCCAGCCAUGCCGCGUGUAGGAUGACGGUCCUAUGGAUUGUAAACUGCUUUUGCACAGGAAGAAACAACGCUACGUGUAGCGUCUUGACGGUACUGUGAGAAUAAGGAUCGGCUAACUCCGUGC